rnacentral:lncRNA from 1 species
CGGAAGAAAUAAGAAUAUUAUUGAUAAAAUAAUAUGGUUACAAUUCCGUUUCUCCCUUCAUUCUUUUCUCCUUUAGGAUUUCUCCAUUUUCUUCAUAAUUUGUAAUCAUUAACGACGUAUUAGAACGUGUAAAAACAAAAGGGAAAAUAAAAUAAAAAAUAUCAUGGUUGUUAGCACAACAAGCACCACAUAUCAAUUUUAAAAAAAAACAACUACUUGAGUACACAUGGUAGAAUCAACUAUAAGGCCCCCAAAUUGCCAUAUUUGGAUGUAUAUAAUUGAUUUUUAAUAAAGGUUACCAAAAAUUGACCACUCACAUGAUAAGGUCAACAAGCUACAAAAUUAUGUUUUUUAGCUAUAGGUAGUCAUUGCAUAUUAUAUUGGAGAAAUUUCUAUCCUCUAACUAGGCUUCUCCAAUUCUGGAAAUUAGAGUCAUCAAUCACUCAACUCAUCUUUACUAUUUGCCUUUCACUUUUACUGUUUUACCACUUAGUACUAGUAGGAUUUGAGGAGAUACGUGUCGAAUAAGGGGCGGAGGAGAAAUAGCUAGGACGGUAAAUUGUUAUGUCAUUGUGACGUUUAUUUUACCGUCAUGUUAUGCAAUGUAGAAUUAAAAUAACUAUUUCCAAUAAUUAUAAAUUAGAUUAGAUCAUUAUAAUAAUCGCAUAAAUUGCAAAAAUAAAUUUGACUAUUUCUUCUCGUCUUUAUGAUUGUUUCACCCAAAAAAAUUGAAUAAAUAUUACCAUAAAUAAGUAUUGUGGCAUCACGUAUUUUGGAAAAAAUUUGGCAAAUAAUAUAUAUAUAUAUAUAUAUAUAUAUGACUUGGAUUUGAACUUGGUUUUUGCCGUUGGAUUAGAUCUCUACUUAAUUUAGAGAUUUAUUUUGAGCAAUUAUUUACUUAAAAAGUUAAAUAUAACGUUUAACUUUUAAUUAUUCAAAACGUUAUGUCUGUUCAUAAAGAAAGCAAGUUGCGUCUGUUUAUGAAAAAAGUGACUCUUUAUAUUUAAUUAUAAAUUCAAGUAAUCUAAGAAAUAGUUUAUUAAAUUACAUAUAUCUUUUAGGUUUUGUUGUAUCAUGAUAAAGGAUUGUUUGUCAUUCCUUAAAGAAUAUUUAUAUAAUAACUCUUGAAAUAUAAUGAUUUUUCAUACUUCAAAGCUUUAACUUUUAUGGCUUUUUUUUUUCUAACAAGUACUUCAACUUAAUUUACUAAAUAACAACUAAAUAUCUCUAAAAUUGAUGUAUCAUAUCAGCGUCAUAUGGUUAUAUGUCACAAAAAAUUAAAAUUAAAAUAUUUAAUUCACAAUUAAGACCAACCCGGUAAGACAUGUCACCAAUUGCUUAAAUAUUUUAUCGACUAGCUUGAAAGACGGAAAGAGGAAACAACUUGCGAGAAAGGUUGUCUAAUUUCUAUUUCAAUGGUCCAAUUUUUUUUUCAUUAUUAGUUCUCUUAGAAAAUAUAUUACAUUAUUUUAUUUGUAAAAAAAUAAUUUUAGACUAACUAUUUUAUUUUUAAUGAAUAGUUUUAUAUUCGCAACGAUUUUAAUAUAAGAGAAUCGAUGAUAGAAAAGAUUGGCUAAUACCUUAUCUCUUUUGAAAAAGAGUUUUGUCUUCCUAGAUUUGUAUUCUUUCCCGAGAUAACCAAUCAUCUUUUCUUUAAGAUAAGGGUUAGGGAGAUUGAAAUUGAAAUGGGAGUCCUUCUACAAGAAAGUUUUGCUCGGACGUUCUUGGUCGAAUGCUUCAUCCGCCUGAAGGUGAGAUAGGACUUUUAUUGCCCAUUGAGCUCUAUAAAUCGGAAGAGGAUCCUCUCCAGUACAUAAUCUCUCUAGUUUCUCUAUUACCCCUUAAAUAUUUUAACAUGUGUCAUACAAAUAAUCUAAUGACUCAAAUUUGUUUGGUUAACAUAACAGUUGUAGGAUAGUUAAUUUUUCUCUCACUUCCUUUAUGUGCUUAGAAUCCUUCUUCUCUAUCAUAGUUUAUUUUUUCACAACUCUUUUUUUGCAACAAAUUAACAAAUAUAUUUCUGUAUUUUAUUUCUAGUGUUGAUAUUUGGGACUUUAAAUUCAUUUAUUUUUAAUCAUUGAUAAAUUUUCAAUUGAUAGUCUCUCUCACAAAGUUUAAUUGAAAUUUCGUGAGUUAGACCCCACCAUUGUUUUUACCUUUUUGUCUCAAAAAGCUUAGUUUCAAUUUUCGUAUGAAGUUUUUUUCUUACGGAACUUACUAGGCAAUAAGUUCUAAUUAUUUCCCAAUUUGGCUUUUUAAAACCCCUCUUUCGUCACUUAUUUUCAUUUAUUUUAUUGAAUUAUUUGAUAUCUGUAUAUUAAUUUUUUCAAUAUCAAACUCAGUCAAAGAGAAGAAAUAUGUUAAAAUGGUGGGAAAAGAUAAUUAAAUAUGAUGAAAACAUCGAAAAACAUUCUUUUAACACAUGAAGAAUGAAAAAAGUCUUAAAUGGUACAUUUUUUUUACAAAAAAAAUAUACAUAUCAUCUUCCAGAAAGUAAAUUAUUCUUAUGAAAGAUUUGAAAAUUGAAAGAAAGUUUUUUUUAAAGUAAUGUGAGGAAAAAUUGUUAAGGAAUCUAUUCAUAAUAAACUAACAGAAAGAAAGAAUUCUAAGUCAAGAAAAAAGAAUAUAACAUCAUAUUAUGUGUACGACAUAUAUCAAAAUAUUAAGAAUAAUGAAGAAAUCAAAGAAUUAUGUAUAGGAGAGAAGCCAAAUGAAAACAAGAGUCAAAGC